ensembl:lncRNA
UACAAGAGCUCCCAAAAUUGAACAUCACCGAUGUUCAUCGGAUUUGCAGAGUGACGACUACCCCCGCCAGCAAAUUAGAUAAAGGAUUUAAGUUAUAUGCUGCAUCAUAUAUACACAACUACGAAGAUUAAGCUUCUGGAUUCAUCGCCGGUGAUACUGACACAUAGCCAGGGCUCCUGUGUGGCAGGCGCUGUUAUGUGCAAUCACACAGUGGCACUGCUCUUCCAAACAGCACACUACUCACAACUCAGAGUGCCGGUUGUCCCCCCUGUGCAUAGCUGCACGGAAUCUGAACAGCAAUGGCACAAGCCACGGACAGUGGGUGUGAGGCCAGGACCCAUCAACUCCAUGAUCUUCACUAAGCCGGUACCAAAUAGGAUGGCCCAGACUGGAGUACGGAGUGGCUUCUACAGAGGCAUGGUGGGUCCGUUACCAGAUCCCUGCUUGUUCAGAAUAACGGAGGCAUAUGCAAAAUUUAAUAUUGAGGACAGGCCACUUGUGACCACAAUGAACAUGAGACCUGACAAGCCCCUUGUGGAAAGUGCCUUUGGGCUGGUGCAGGAGGGCAGUGUUCUGUCAUAUCAGCAGCCGGUUUUGACAACCCGGUACAUCACACUACACCGCGAUGCACCACCAACACCGCACUUGCCUCUGGAGGGGUAUGACAUCUUGCCAUCAGAUUGUGUGUUUGUGUGCUCAGAAGAAGAGCUUCUGCAUCUGAAAAGCUUGUCUGUAACUCUGGAAAUGGCUCACAAAAUAGAGGAAGCUACACGUGAGCAAAGCUCUUCGUCUGAG